rnacentral:rRNA from 1 species
UACGUAGGGGGCUAGCGUUGUCCGGAUUUAUUGGGCGUAAAGAGCGUGUAGGCGGCCAGGUAGGUCUGCUGUGAAAACUCGAGGCUCAACCUCGAGACGUCGGCGGAAACCAUCUGGCUAGAGUCCGGAAGAGGAGAGUGGAAUUCCUGGUGUAGCGUGAAAUGCGCAGAUAUCAGGAAGAACACCCGUGGCGAAGGCGGCUCUCUGGGACGGUACUGACGCUGAGACGCGAAAGCGUGGGGAGCGAACAGG